rnacentral:rRNA from 1 species
GAUGAACGCUAGCGGCAGGCUUAACACAUGCAAGUCGAGGGGUAUAUGUCUUCGGGCAUAGAGACCGGCGCACGGGUGCGUAACGCGUAUGCAACCUACCUUGAACAGGGGAAUAGCCCAGAGAAAUUUGGAUUAAUGCCCCAUGGUAUCUUUAAGUGGCAUCACUUGAUUAUUAAAGUAACAACGGUUCAAGAUGGGCAUGCGUCCCAUUAGUUAGUUGGUAAGGUAACGGCUUACCAAGACGAUGAUAGGUAGGGGUCCUGAGAGGGAGAUCCCCCACACUGGUACUGAGACACGGACCAGACUCCUACGGGAGGCAGCAGUGAGGAAUAUUGGUCAAUGGGCGCAAGCCUGAACCAGCCAUGCCGCGUGCAGGAUUAAGGCCCUAUGGGUUGUAAACUGCUUUUGUACGGGAAGAAACACCGGUUCGUGAACCGGCUUGACGGUACCGUAAGAAUAAGGAUCGGCUAACUCCGUGCCAGCAGCCGCAGUAAGAC